rnacentral:lncRNA from 1 species
UUUUUUCAAAGUAUAUUUCUAUGUAGGUUCAUCAAUUGUAACAAAUGUACCACUCUGGUGGGGGAUGUUGUUUAUGCGGAGGAGAUUGGCUCCACAGGUAAGGCAAGGAGUACAUAAGAAAUCUCCAUACCGUCUGCUCAAUUUUGCUGUGAUCCUAAAACUGAUCUAAAAAAUUAGAGUCUAUUUUUAAAAAUGAAAAAAUAAAGUACCUAUUUCAUGCCCCCUCCACUAUAAUCAACUGGACAGAGAUUGGUCUGGCUUGUCCUCCCAGGUUUGUGUUGAUCGUUUAUGGUAUCAGUAAGGCUUCUGAUCAACAGCAGGCUAUUAGAAGUCAUGUUUUUGGGGAGUCCAGUUAUAUAUGGACUUUUGAUUGCACAGAGUGGGGGUGGGGGAAGCGGAGUGGGAUUAAGCAGCACAAGGGAACUUUCUGGAGGAUAGAAACUUUACAUAUCUUACUCAGGGAUAUUCGUUUGUCAAGCCCUCCUGAGCUAUACUAUUAAGAUCUGUGCUUUUUAUUGACUAUAAAUGGUACCUCAAUAAAUUUAACAUAUGAUGUUAUGUAUGUUACAUAUGUAACAUAUGUAUGUGUAUGUAUGUAAAUAUGUGUGUGUGUUUAUCUGUUCUUUGCCCCACCCCUUUCCAUUCCUCCCUUGAGAAGAUACAAUAUCUAGGAACUAGAUAAUAGAAUCCCAGAGAAAGGCAAGGCAAGUCCAAGGAUGACAAAAGAAGUCUCAGGAUGAUAGUUAUGCCACAGACCUAGAUGGAGAGAGAAUGGAGGUCUGCGGGAGGGAAGUUUCUAAGUAAAUAAUGGAACAGAUAGAUUCCUUCACAAGGAAGCCUGAGGACUGUGGAAAGUUGUAGUGAGAGGUUAAUCAAAGGUGUGGGAAAGAGAACUAAGGAAAAGAAAAAGAAAGGCAAUCAUUAACUUCAAAAUGGAAAAGUAAGGAAGGUACAGUGAUCAAACUAUUAUAUAACACCCAGCUGAGAAUAAUAGUAACCAACUCUAAAAUUUGUGACAUAAUUAUAUUGGAGGGAAGGCUGACAAGAUGGAUCCUCUACAGUAAUAUCAAGUGAAUAGAUAAAACAGGUGAAUGAAAAGAGAUCAGGUUACAUGUAAUAGAAUUAGAAUUAUGGGCAUGUAAAUUUCAGAAAAAAAUGCUUAAAAAGUUGAAAGUAGUUGUCCCUAAGAAAGAAAUGGAGCAGGCAGCCCGGGUGGCUUGGCGGCUUAGUGCCGCCUUCAGCCCAGGGCCUGAUCGUGGAGAGCCGGGAUCAAGUCCCAUGUCAGGCUCCCUGCAUGGAGCCUGCUUCUCCCUCUGCCUGGUGUGUCUGCCUCUCUCUCUCUCCUCUCUGUGUUUCUCAUGAAUAAAUAAAUAAAAUCUUAAAAAAAAAAAAAGAAAGAAAUGGAGCUUGAAGAAAGCAGAAAACACUAUACUUUGGCAUGAAUUACUGAAUGAUACUUAUCUAUAAAAAUUGUUGUGGACUUUAGCCUUUUCUAACAACAAAGUUCAAACUUCUAGGGAGAUUUUUAGAGUAAUUUGAAAAAAAUCUGAAGCCAUUUACUAAGGUAGCUUAUUAAUUUCAAGAGGUCAUGUAGCAGACACUGCAAUUUAACCUUUACAGAUUUAUUUACUUGUUUCAGAGGUUCAAACUAAAACCACAUAAACAAACAAAGAAACACACUGAAAGCAGCUCAGCAGCAAAGAAGAAAUGAGAGCACUUACCAACCUGUUGUGAGCAAUGCAGAUUCCCUUGUCGUGCCCAAGAUUGCGAAUCCGAGGAGCCGACACCAAAGCAAACACACGAGGGUUUAUUUACAAGCUCGAGCUUGGGUCCAAGUAUACCUGACACAGUGGAGCAGGGACUUGGACCCUGAGACCAAAAGGCAUAGCAGCUUUAUGGGGACCAGUGGCCAAUGGGAUACGCAGAAAGUUGCACAGUCAUGUGGGUCCACAAGCAGGUGGCCGAUUGAAUUACAUUUUACCCUAAAGUAUCCAUUUGAACUGGCCUAUCACUGAGCGGAUUUCCGAUUAGGGUAUGCCCUGGGCAUGGUCUCUGCUUGUCCAGGGGUAGGGGAUUUUUGUUAAAUUUCCUGGGCCCCACAUUCCCCCCUUUUUCAGAGGAUCCUAUGCAGGACCCAAUCAUGGGUCCAGGUUGCUCUCAGAGUGAGCCAGGGGGAAUGAUUAAACCAGGAUUGUAACCAACUUUGUUGCUUUUCUCGCUCUCAUUUACAUUCCAGCAAAAAAGCAACAUCCUACGCUUAAGGCAGCACAUAACCCCUCCACCCCCACCCUUUGUUGUAAGAAGACUAAGUCUAAUCCCCUUCUAUUUUGAAGGACAACCUCAGACUAGGGAGUCUUGGAGGUGGGAAAUAAGUGAGAACGGCGCAGUCUUAGCUUUUAGGGGAUUGUCCUUGUCCAGUUGGCUUUUCCAUUCUGGAACAAAGUCCUUGAGAAUGGCGUGUGGGUCAGCUGGCUGGACGUGGGUGUAGUGGACCCAGGGAGUAAUCCCCGUAAACCUUGAGAGCGGUGGGAGUGGUUCAGGAUCACGAUGUAGGGUCCCUUCCAGCGAGGUUGAAGUGUCCAGUGUUGGUAUCUCUGCCCGUAUACCCAGUCACCUGGCCGAUAUCGAUGGGGGUCCGGGAGUGGCCCAGUCUCAUAGAGGGCCCUCAGCUUAGGCCACACCUGCUCAUGGGUUAUGGAGAGUCUGUUCUUAAACCUUAGGGUUUCUUCAGUGUUGGUAACUAAAAAUCCCCUGGUCCAAAUUUACCAUGUCUCUGAAGGCCUUAACUGAAGAAAUGAAAUGCACACUGGAGGAAAAAAUUGGGCCUUUGUUGCAACAAUAGUUUCAGCUCAACAAUAUCAAUGGAAUUAGUUUUUCAAACAGAAGAAAACAAAGGACUCUGGAGCACCAAAGCCAAGGAGACCGUAUGAGCUUUCCCAGUACCUUGGUUUCAUCAGCCACAGCGAACCUGGGGAUAAGAAGACAUGUCCUGAACGUAGGUACACUCGUCUUCUUACAUUAUCCCUGGUGGGAUGGCUGGUCAGCAGGACCCUCGCGAAUCUGCAGGGGCACUAGAACGGGCCACAGAUCAGGCUGGGGCCAGGAAAAAGCCUGAGUACGAAGAGGGCAGGGAGCGGGGCUCAUGAGAGAUUUCAACAAUAUCAAUGGAAUUAGGAUUCCACACACAGGAAAGCAAAAGAGUCUGAGGCACCAAAUCCAAGGACAGCACGCCAAUUACUAAAAUGGAAUUCGGAUUCCAAGAACGUGCUGCAAAAGAUCGUGAACCUCGAGAUCAAGGAGAGCAGGCCCUCGCUGUGUACUUAAGGCUUCAAGCGGCCACAGUGGAGCUGGGUACGAGCCAUGCCGCACACGUCGUCCACGUAUCAAUCUCGAUAGAACGAGGUGCCGAGUGACUCCAUGGGACUCCCCUGGAAGCACAGCCAUGUCCACAGGUCCGGUCAGGAGCAAGGAAUCCACCCUCGGGAUGCUGUGACCAAAGAGCACCCUUUGGCCAGGCAAACGCGCGAGCCUCUGGAGCAGCCAAGAAGGUGCAGCAAGGACAAAGCCCCACAGCUCUGAGUUCCCGCGGCUUCCUCCGGAAGGGGGGCGGGGUGCUGGCGGUGGUAACGGAGCCUCUCUGCAGUGCCUGCCUGGCAGCAGGCGUCCGAACACAGCCAUCUUGGGACACCAGGCUGGCCUUCCCAGAGAGCCUCUCCUCUUGCAGAGGUUUGAAGACCACUCACGCACUGCGUCUGCGAUGAGUUUACUGCUGGGCUGGCCCUGCGGGCCGGCAGAGGCCCUGAAGCUCCUGGCAAGCGGCCCAAGGCAAAGGGAAACACUGUCCCGUCCCCUUGCCUCCUGAGCUUGGCAAAACCCCCUGGGAGGCCGGCAAUGGCCGGCACAGGCUCUCUGCCCCAGCUUGCUGCACCUCAGCCCAUCGACAUCACCUCGUUGAGCAAAGGGCCAAUGGCUGCAGCACCGCUUGUGGCCACGUCCUCUGGCAAGACCGUAUGUCCCCUCACUUCACAGGAGGGGAGCGUGCAAGUCCCCAACUUCUGCUUUCAGCCGUGGCAGUCUCAGGCCAGAUGCCAACGUGGAGGAGCUGCUGCUUUCAACAUUCAUUCAGAAGCUGGCUUCUGGGCAUACGACUGACCCACGACACCUUCAAUAACGAGGCCUCUACCUGCCCGCAACCUCCGGGUCCGUCACGUCCUUUCUGAGAGGAGACAACAAAGCAGUGCACUGCUGUGGCCUCAGAGUGACCUCGGACAAGACGCCGCUCCGCCUGGGAGGACACGGACCAGGCAGCACCUCUGCGUGCUGGGAAACCUCCACUCCAUCCCGCCCAGGAGCUUGGGUUCUGGGUCCCAGCUCUCCAGGUUCCACUCAGACGUCUGACACUUCUUUAUCCUGUGGCCUAAGCAAAGUCCUUUCAGACCCUCAGUUGCCAGCACCGCGGCACCGGGCCUAGUUGUACACCUGGCCCCCGAAGAGAAACGUGUCACAGGCAAUCCACAGGGCCUUCGGCCAUCCUGUACUUGGGGGCACCACAGUAGGCGACGUGAGUCUUCCUCAUCAUUCUAGGAGACCUCAGGGAGCGUGGCGUACCCCUGCCGAGCCAUGCCCAGCCCUGCCGCCAACUGGCGGUGUGGCCUGAAGAAAAUUAGGUGUUUGCGAUCCUCGGUUCCCUUCUUGCAAGAUGGUCACACGUUCAUACCUUGCCCAGGCUCUGAAGCUAAUCAGAAGCACGGAGGAACGGCUGGAGGCAACGUGGUUCUGUGAGAAGCUCUCCCAGGAGGCCUUGAGAGCCGAAGUUGGAGAAAACUACUCUCUGCAUCGCUUCCUUUUGGGAAUCUCAACAUUCAAACUGCACGAGAUUUGGCUUCAACGUUCCACUUUUUGAAGAAGGACAUCAGAAAUGCCUUGAUCAGGCCAGCACAAAGGGAGCAGGCUGCUAAAGAGGCCAGGACACCAAAUUCAGAAGAGGCAUGUCAUGUACAGGAACGGAAUGGGGAUACCAGAUACACGAAAGAAGGGUCGUUUGCAUCAGCAAAGCCAGCAAGUGCAACUGCUCUUCCUGAAGCCUGUGGGUUCCGCUGCCACAGGGAACAUGGGGUCGGGGCAAACGGACUGCCAAGUGCUUACGUGCUCCCAUAUACCCGGCCCCAGGAGCCCUGCACUCCACAGAUCAGUCUGCAGGGGGCAAUCGGCCUGCGGAAAGGGGGCUAGGCCAUAGCUCUCGUAGCUUCACGUCAGAUAGUCCAACAAUAUGGAUGGAAGUAGGAUUCCAAGUAUGGAAAACAAGGGAUUACGGCAUAGCAAAGCCAAGGAGAAAGGCAUGGUUUCCAAACAAUUUGCUUUCAUCGGACACUGUUGCCUCUCAGACAUUUGUAUGGAAUAGCAAAACAGAUAAACUCCUAACCAGGCAAAAUACACUUACAUGUGUUUAUGUUCACUUGCUUAGAGCUGAACCAUUGGUAAGCACCACCCCAAAAAAUGAAAGUGUUUGAAAUCCAACUGUUCAAACAUUUCUAUAGUGUUUGCUGGACAACGGUAUGGAAUUUGAGAAAAGCAGGUGACAAUUAUCAAAGAAGCAUUUUGGCCAUCUUAGUAAAAGAAUCAUAGUUCUUAACUCUUCUGGGUCACAGCCCCCUUUGAAAACUUGCUGGCAAAAAAAAAAAAAAAACAAAACAAAACUUGCUGGUGAUGGAUCCUCAUUCCCCAAAAAUUCACACUCCCACUAUUUCUGCAUACAAUUUCAAGGAGUUUAGGGGGAUCUCCAACUUCAAUCCAAGGUUCCCAGGUUCAAAAUCCAAGAACUGGGCAAUUGCUAACUUUUCAUACAACUCAAAAAAAAAAAAA